UGUUAUUCUAUCCAGCUGUUUACUUUCUGUAUGAUCUGUCACCAAUUACUGUAACCAUCAGAGAGGAACGUCGCAGUUUUCUCCACUUCAUCACUCGGCUUUGUGCAGUAUUGGGCGGUACAUUUGCCUUAACAGGAAUGUUAGAUCGGUGGAUGUAUAGACUUCUUGAUGCAGUAAUGAAGCCAAAUGCUAGAAGUAUGUCGCGGUAAACAUGGGG